rnacentral:rRNA from 1 species
GAAAAGCCCCCGGCUCAACCGGGGAGGGUCAUUCGGAAACUUGGGAAACUUGAGUGCAGAAGAGGAGAGUGGAAUUCCACGUGUAGCGGUGAAAUGCGUAGAGAUGUGGAGGAACACCAGUGGCGAAGGCGACUCUCUGGUCUGUAACUGACGCUGAGGAGCGAAAGCGUGGGGAGCGAACAGGAUUAGAUACCCUGGUAGUCCACGCCGUAAACGAUGAGUGCUAAGUGUUAGGGGGUUUCCGCCCCUUAGUGCUGCAGCUAACGCAUUAAGCACUCCGCCUGGGGAGUACGGUCGCAAGACUGAAACUCAAAGGAAUUGACGGGGGCCCGCACAAGCGGUGGAGCAUGUGGUUUAAUUCGAAGCAACGCGAAGAACCUUACCAGGUCUUGACAUCCUCUGACAACCCUAGAGAUAGGGCUUUCCCUUCGGGGACAGAGUGACAGGUGGUGCAUGGUUGUCGUCAGCUCGUGUCGUGAGAUGUUGGGUUAAGUCCCGCAACGAGCGCAACCCUUGAUCUUAGUUGCCAGCAUUCAGUUGGGCACUCUAAGGUGACUGCCGGUGA